GAUGAACGCUAGCGGCAGGCCUAACACAUGCAAGUCGAGGGGUAGAAGGCUUCGGCCUUUGAGACCGGCGCACGGGUGCGUAACGCGUAUGCAAUCUGCCUUGCACUGCGGGAUAGCCCGGAGAAAUCCGGAUUAAUACCGCAUGGUAUAAUGGUGUGGCAUCACAUUAUUAUUAAAGAUUUAUCGGUGCAAGAUGAGCAUGCGUCCCAUUAGCUAGUUGGUGUGGUAACGGCAUACCAAGGCUAUGAUGGGUAGGGGUCCUGAGAGGGAGAUCCCCCACACUGGUACUGAGACACGGACCAGACUCCUACGGGAGGCAGCAGUGAGGAAUAUUGGUCAAUGGGCGCAAGCCUGUACCAGCCAUGCCGCGUGCAGGAUGACUGCCCUAUGGGUUGUAAACUGCUUUUGUACGGGAAGAAACACCUCUACGUGUAGGGGCUUGACGGUACCGUAAGAAUAAGGAUCGGCUAACUCCGUGCC
rnacentral:rRNA from 1 species